rnacentral:rRNA from 1 species
UACGGAGGGUGCUAGCGUUGUCCGGAAUCACUGGGCUUAAAGGGCGCGUAGGCGGUUAGAUAAGUCAGAGGUGUAAGUUUGCGGCUUAACGAGAGAACUGCAUUUGAUACUGUUGAGCUUGAAAGCAGGAGACGUUGGCGGAAUGUGACAUGUAGCGGUGAAAUGCAUAGAUAUGUCAUAGAACACCGAUUGCGAAGGCAGCCAGCUAACCUGACUUUGACGCUGAGGCACGAAAGCGUCGGUAGCGAAUAGG